rnacentral:rRNA from 1 species
AGAGUUUGAUCCUGGCUCAGGACGAACGCUGGCGGCGUGCUUAACACAUGCAAGUCGAACGAUGAAGCUGGGGCUUGCUUCGGUGGAUUAGUGGCGAACGGGUGAGUAACACGUGAGUAACCUGCCCCUGACUCUGGGAUAACUGCUGGAAACGGUAGCUAAUACUGGAUAUGAACCGUACAGGCAUCUGUAGCGGUUGGAAAGAUUUUUUGGUUGGGGAUGGACUCGCGGCCUAUCAGCUUGUUGGUGAGGUAAUGGCUCACCAAGGCGGCGACGGGUAGCCGGCCUGAGAGGGUGACCGGCCACAUUGGGACUGAGACACGGCCCAGACUCCUACGGGAGGCAGCAGUGGGGAAUAUUGCACAAUGGGCGAAAGCCUGAUGCAGCAACGCCGCGUGAGGGAUGACGGCCUUCGGGUUGUAAACCUCUUUUAGCAGGGAAGAAGCGAGAGUGACGGUACCUGCAGAAAAAGCGCCGGCUAACUACGUGCCAGCAGCCGCGGUAAUACGUAGGGCGCGAGCGUUGUCCGGAAUUAUUGGGCGUAAAGAGCUCGUAGGCGGUUUGUCGCGUCUGCUGUGAAAUCCCGAGGCUCAACCUCGGGCUUGCAGUGGGUACGGGCAGACUAGAGUGCGGUAGGGGAGACUGGAACUCCUGGUGUAGCGGUGGAAUGCGCAGAUAUCAGGAAGAACACCGAUGGCGAAGGCAGGUCUCUGGGCCGUUACUGACGCUGAGGAGCGAAAGCAUGGGGAGCGAACAGGAUUAGAUACCCUGGUAGUCC